GAUGAACGCUGGCGGCGUACUUAACACAUGCAAGUCGAACGAGAAAUGAUAUUACGAUCUCUUCGGAGUGACGAUUUUAUUUCGAGUGGCGGACGGGUGAGUAACGCGUGAGCAACCUGCCCUGUACCGGGGGAUACCAGUUGGAAACGACUGUUAAUACCGCAUAAGCGCACGAUAAGACAUCUUGUUGUGUGAAAAACUCCGGUGGUAUAGGAUGGGCUCGCGUAUGAUUAGCCAGUUGGCGGGGUAAAGGCUCACCAAAGCGACGAUCAUUAGCCGACCUGAGAGGGCGACCGGCCACAUUGGGACUGAGACACGGCCCAAACCUCUACGGGAGGCAGCAGUGGGGAAUAUUGCACAAUGGGCGAAAGCCUGAUGCAGCGACGCCGCGUGAGUGAGGAAGUAUUUCGGUAUGUAAAGCUCUAUCAGCAGGGAAGAAAGAAUGACGUACCUGA
rnacentral:rRNA from 1 species